rnacentral:lncRNA from 1 species
GAAGCCAUUGAUCAGAGACUCCCCAGGCUUGAACAGGAACCCAUAAAUGUGACUGAGGUCAGUGGGUCUCUGCCUUCCCUUAGUAGGAAAUGUCACGGGGCAGGCAGGACCUUGCCUAGAUGCUCUCUUGGCCAGUUUGCUUUCGAAGUCAGAGAUUUGGGGGUCUGUAGUGUGUUUCUGAGUCUGUUUAUGAUAUCUGAAAUCUUUAUCAUGUGGGAGAUUGAAGGCUCCUACUGGGAGUAUCUUCAGUUUGUGGCAGUUUACUAUUUAUUAGAGCCUCCUUUUGCAUAUCAUGCACCGUAUUUGAGUGUUUAACCAGCUCACUGUCUCCACUUAACACGGGAAGUGGCUAAUCUAGCACUGUGACAAACCAAGGAUGACUCCUGCUGGUUGUUUUAAGACAGCCUUCAAGUGGGGCUGGGGAUUUAGCUCAGUGGUAGAGCGCUUGCCUAGGAAGCGCAAGGCCCUGGGUUCGGUCCCCAGCUCCGAAAAAAAAAAAAGAACCAAAAA